rnacentral:rRNA from 1 species
UUCCGGUUGAUCCUGCCGGAGACUACCGCUAUCGGAGUCCGAUUGAGCCAUGCUAGUCCACCGAUUCGUUCGGGGCGGAUAGCUGAGUAACACGUGGCUAACCUGCCCUGCGGACGGGGAUAACCUCGGGAAACUGAGGCUAAGCCCUGAUAGCUGAGGCCUUGUGGAAUUCAGGCCUCGGUUAAACGCCUUGUGCGCCGCAGGAUGGGGCCGCGGCUGAUUAUGUUGUUGGUGAGGUAACGGCUCACCAAGCCGAUAAUCAGUAGCAGCCGUGAGAGCGGGAGCUGCCAGUCGGCAUCUGAGACAAGAUGCCGGGCCCUACGGGGUGCAGCAGGCACGAAACCUUCACAAUGCACGCAAGUGCGAUGGGGGGACUCCGAGUGCGUUCUCCCCACAAGGGAGGACGCUUUUCUGCACUGUAAGGAGCUGCAGGAACAAGGGGUGGGCGACACUGCUGCCAGCCGCCGCGGUAAUAGCAGGACCCCGAGUGGUAGGCGUUG